UGGUGGAGUGAUUUGUCUGGUUAAUUCCGAUAACGAACGAGACCCCCGCCUGCUAACUAGUGGGGACAAUGCUUUGCAUUGUUCUUUCUCGCUUCUUAGAGGGACUUUCGGUGUUUUAGCCGAAGGAAGUUGGGGCAAUAACA
rnacentral:rRNA from 1 species